rnacentral:rRNA from 1 species
AUUGAACGCUGGCGGCAUGCCUUACACAUGCAAGUCGAACGGUAACGCGGGGCAACCUGGCGACGAGUGGCGAACGGGUGAGUAACACAUCGGAACGUGCCCAGUAGUGGGGGAUAGCCCGGCGAAAGCCGGAUUAAUACCGCAUACGACCUAAGGGUGAAAGCAGGGGAUCGCAAGACCUUGCGCUAUUGGAGCGGCCGAUGUCAGAUUAGGUAGUUGGUGGGGUAAAAGCCUACCAAGCCGACGAUCUGUAGCUGGUCUGAGAGGACGACCAGCCACACUGGGACUGAGACACGGCCCAGACUCCUACGGGAGGCAGCAGUGGGGAAUUUUGGACAAUGGGCGCAAGCCUGAUCCAGCAAUGCCGCGUGCAGGAAGAAGGCCUUCGGGUUGUAAACUGCUUUGUACGGAACGAAACGGCGAGCUCUAAUACAGUUGCUAAUGACGGUACCGUAAGAAUAAGCA